UUACAAUGCGGGAAACCGUGAUAAGGGAAUCUCGAGUGCCAGCAUAUAAUGUUGGCUGUCCAGAUGCCUAAAAAGCAUCUGUUAGCAAGGGCCGGGCAAGACCGGUGCCAGCCGCCGCGGUAACACCCGCGCCCCAAGUGGUGGUCGAUAUUAUUGAGCCUAAAACGUCCGUAGCCGGUCUUCUAAAUCCUUGGGUAAAUCGGGCAGCUUAACUGUCCGAAGUCCGGGGAGACUGGGAGACUUGGGACCGGGAGAGGUCAGAGGUACUUCUGGGGUAGGGGUAAAAUCCUGUAAUCCUGGAAGGACCACCGGUGGCGAAGGCGUCUGACUAGAACGGAUCCGACGGUGAGGGACGAAGCCCUGGGGCGCAAACGGGAUU
rnacentral:rRNA from 1 species